rnacentral:rRNA from 1 species
GAGUUUGAUCAUGGCUCAGGAUGAACGCUAGCGACAGGCUUAACACAUGCAAGUCGAGGGGCAGCGGUGGUGAAGGCUUGCCUUUACCAGCCGGCGACCGGCGCACGGGUGAGUAACACGUAUGCAACCUGCCUGCCACAGCCGGAUAAUCGGGAGAAAUUCCGUCUAAUACGGCAUAAUGCAUCGACGGGACAUCCUGUUGGUGCCAAAGGUUGAUUCCGGUGGCGGAUGGGCAUGCGUCGCAUUAGUUAGUUGGCGGUGUAACGGACCACCAAGACGACGAUGCGUAGGGGUUCUGAGAGGAAGGUCCCCCACACUGGUACUGAGACACGGACCAGACUCCUACGGGAGGCAGCAGUGAGGAAUAUUGGUCAAUGGGCGGGAGCCUGAACCAGCCAAGUCGCGUGAGGGAUGACGGCCCUAUGGGUUGUAAACCUCUUUUGCCGGGGAGCAAAGUGCCGCACGUGUGCGGUUUGGAGAGUACCCGGAGAAAAAGCAUCGGCUAACUCCGUGCCAGCAGCCGCGGUAAUACGGAGGAUGCGAGCGUUAUCCGGAUUUAUUGGGUUUAAAGGGUGCGUAGGCGGACGCUUAAGUCAGCGGUAAAAUUGCGGGGCUCAACCUCGUCGAGCCGUUGAAACUGGGUGCCUUGAGUGGGCGAGAAGUACGCGGAAUGCGUGGUGUAGCGGUGAAAUGCAUAGAUAUCACGCAGAACUCCGAUUGCGAAGGCAGCGUACCGGCGCCCAACUGACGCUGAAGCACGAAGGCGUGGGUAUCGAACAGGAUUAGAUACCCUGGUAGUCCACGCAGUAAACGAUGAAUGCUAGUUGUCCGGGGCGAUUGAGUUCUGGGUGACACAGCGAAAGCGUUAAGCAUUCCACCUGGGGAGUACGCCGGCAACGGUGAAACUCAAAGG